rnacentral:rRNA from 1 species
GACGAACGCUGGCGGCGUGCUUAACACAUGCAAGUCGAACGGAAAGGCCCUGCUUUUGUGGGGUGCUCGAGUGGCGAACGGGUGAGUAACACGUGAGUAACCUGCCCUUGACUUUGGGAUAACUUCAGGAAACUGGGGCUAAUACCGGAUAGGAGCUCCUGCUGCAUGGUGGGGGUUGGAAAGUUUCGGCGGUUGGGGAUGGACUCGCGGCUUAUCAGCUUGUUGGUGGGGUAGUGGCUUACCAAGGCUUUGACGGGUAGCCGGCCUGAGAGGGUGACCGGCCACAUUGGGACUGGGGUACGGCCCAGACUCCUACGGGAGGCAGCGGUGGGGAAUAUUGCACAAUGGGCGGAAGCCUGAUGCAGCAACGCCGCGUGCGGGAUGACGGCCUUCGGGUUGUAAACCGCUUUCGCCUGUGACGAAGCGUGAGUGACGGUAAUGGGUAAAGAAGCACCGGCUAACUACGUG